rnacentral:rRNA from 1 species
AUUGAACGCUGGCGGCAUGCCUUACACAUGCAAGUCGAACGGUAACAGGUCUUCGGAUGCUGACGAGUGGCGAACGGGUGAGUAAUACAUCGGAACGUGCCCGAUCGUGGGGGAUAACGGAGCGAAAGCUUUGCUAAUACCGCAUACGAUCUACGGAUGAAAGCAGGGGACCGCAAGGCCUUGCGCGGACGGAGCGGCCGAUGGCGGAUUAGGUAGUUGGGGGGAUAAAAGCUUACAAAGCCGACGAUCUGUAGCUGGUCUGAGAGGACGACCAGCCACACUGGGACUGAGACACGGCCCAGACUCCUACGGGAGGCAGCAGUGGGGAAUUUUGGACAAUGGGCGCAAGCCUGGUCCAGCCAUGCCGCGUGCAGGAUGAAGGCCUUCGGGUUGUAAACUGCUUUUGUACGGAACGAAAAGACUCUGGUUAAUACCUGGGGUCCAUGACGGUACCGUAAGAAUAAGCACCGGCUAACUACGUGCCAGCCGCCGCAGUAAAAC